CUGGAGGCUUGGGGCGAUACCACCACUCGUUUGUCUGUUGGCGAUUAGUGUUGUCCCCCCGAGUGGCCAG
rfam:Human herpesvirus 8 strain GK18, complete genome.